rnacentral:rRNA from 1 species
UACGUAGGGGGCAAGCGUUGUCCGGAAUCAUUGGGCGUAAAGAGCGCGUAGGCGGCUCGGUAAGUUCGCUGUAAAAGUCAAAGGCUUAACCUUUGAAUGUCAGUGGAUACUGCCGGGCUAGAGUCCGGAAGAGGCGAGUGGAACUCCUGGUGUAGCGGUGGAAUGCGCAGAUAUCAGGAAGAACACCAACGGCGAAGGCAGCUCGCUAGGACGGUACUGACGCUGAGACGCGAAAGCGUGGGGAGCGAACAGG